CUACGUGCCAGCAGCCGCGGUAAUACGGAAGGUCCAGGCGUUAUCCGGAUUUAUUGGGUUUAAAGGGAGUGUAGGCGGUUUGUUAAGCGUGUUGUGAAAUUUAGGUGCUCAACAUUUAACUUGCAGCGCGAACUGGCGAACUUGAGUGCACACAACGUAUGCGGAAUUCAUGGUGUAGCGGUGAAAUGCUUAGAUAUCAUGAAGAACUCCGAUUGCGAAGGCAGCGUACGGGAGUGUAACUGACGCUUAAGCUCGAAGGUGCGGGUAUCGAACAGGAUUAGAUACCCUGGUAGUCCGCACAGUAAACGAUGGAUGCCCGCUGUUAGCGCCUGGCGUUAGCGGCUAAGCGAAAGCAUUAAGCAUCCCACCUGGGGAGUACGCCGGCAACGGUGAAACUCAAAGGAAUUGACGGGGGCCCGCACAAGCGGAGGAACAUGUGGUUUAAUUCGAUGAUACGCGAGGAACCUUACCCGGGCUUGAAUUGCAGAUG
rnacentral:rRNA from 1 species